CUUUAAAAACGGGGUGCAAUCAGAGUAUGUCCACACGAGGGCGCUAUAGGAUAAGAAAUGACAACGCCAUAGCAGCUUUACUGAUAAAAUGAACACCAAAUAUUAUUACAAGCUAUGGCCGCAUGAAGGGGCUGCAGGAUAAAUACCGGCGGCACCGGAACCGCUUAAAUAAUGAAACAGGCUUCAGGAGCGGUAUACAUAUUCGCAUGCAUGUGUAAAUUAUCCACUUCUGCUGGGAGGCUGUUCCAUUUAUCUACCACUCAAGGAGUGAGGUAAAACUUUCUUAAAUUGCAUUUAAACCUCUAACCUAACUAUAAAUGUAUAGUUCAAUUAAGGAGCCUGCCCUGUAUGUUGUAUACUUUAAUAGGAGUCAGCCCUGUGAGAUAUACAUAAGUAAUCAGAAGCCUGCAGAGUUUUUUUUUCUUCUUCCUUUGGAAUUAAUUUAAUAUGCAUUCUCGUACCCAAAGUAGUUUGCCAGAGAGGGAAGUGUUAAUGUGUGUAACCAUUGCAUUGUGUAUUAUUUCUGUGUUCUCAGCCUUUGUCAUUGUGGGGACUCCCUGAUCCAGACACCGUCCUAGACCAUUGGAGACAGAUCUGUUAUCGCUCCUCAUCGCGUGCGUUGCUGCGUAACUAGAAAAUUCCUGGUUAAACUGAGCAGCCUUUUUCAUCGCGUGGUCUCCCUGAGCCAGACACCGUGCUAGACCUUUGAAGACAAAACUGUUAUGGCUCCUGAUCGCGUGCAUUGCUGUGAUUUUUAUCCCGAACCAGUUCCUGCACCUACCAGACCCUUUUCCUCCUAUGUUGACACUGCAUGGACUGCGAUUG